rnacentral:rRNA from 1 species
UACGUAGGGAGCAAGCGUUGUUCGGAUUUACUGGGCGUAAAGGGCGCGUAGGCGGCGCGGUAAGUCACUUGUGAAAUCUCUGAGCUUAACCCAGAACGGCCAAGUGAUACUGCAGUGCUAGAGUGCAGAAGGGGCAAUCGGAAUUCUUGGUGUAGCGGUGAAAUGCGUAGAUAUCAAGAGGAACACCUGAGGUGAAGACGGGUUGCUGGGCUGACACUGACGCUGAGGCGCGAAAGCCAGGGGAGCAAACGGG